rnacentral:rRNA from 1 species
UAAUACCGGCACCUCAAGUGGUCGUCGCUUUUAUUGGGCCUAAAACGUCCGUAGCCGGUUUGGUAAACCCGUGGGUAAAUCAACCAGCUUAACUGGUUGAAUUCUGCGGAGACUGCCAAACUUGGAACCGGGAGAGGUGUGAGGAACUCUUGGGGUAGGGGUAAAAUUUGUUUAUCCCAGGGGGACCACCUGUUGCGAAGGCGUCACACUAGAACGGAUUCGACGGUCAGGGACGAAGCCUAGGGGCACGAACCGGAUUAGAUACCCGGGUAGUCCUAGGUGUAAACGCUGUGGACUUGGUGUCGGGAGUCCCUAGAGGGCCCCCGGUGCCGCAGCGAAGGUGUUAAGUCCACUGCCUGGGGAGUACGGUCGCAAGGCUG